UAUUUUCUUUUUUCUUUCUUUUUCUCUUUUUUCUUUCUCCUUUCUUCUUCGUCUUCCCUUUACUUUUUCUUUCUUUUGAGCCCCAGCCGCCGCUUCUCCUCCGUUGUCCACUGCCGCCGUCGACUCCUCCGUUCGGUGGCGCUAGUCUCAGCGUUCUCUCCUCUUCUUUUCCUUUUUCUCUUCUCUUUCCCUUUCCUCUCUUUUCUUUCUCUUCUAUUUCUUUUCUCGGCAACCCCAAGGUUGAAAGCGCCGCUGCAACGCUCGUCCUUGGCUCUUCUCCUCCCUCGGUGGCUCACGAAGAAGACCAAAAAUUUCUCACUAUUUUUAUUUUUGCUGCUGUUUUUACUGUCUUUUUCUUGCUUUUUGGUUGCUUGUUGCUUGUUGCUUGUUGUGUGUUGUGUUUGAUUUGUUGUAGGUGCCGGCGGUGGAGCAACACCGGUGGUGGUGCAACGAUGGCGGUUGCAGGGGAGCCAUUAUAGCCUAGGGAGGCUGUUGGAGUAGCUCGGCUGGGGAGGGGUACGCUCGGCUGCCAUUGCGGCGAUUUGACAAGUCCAGGAGGACCAAAUUGCAUAGGAUGCAAAGCUUUUGGGGCAAAAGUGAAAUUUUAGCAAAAAUACGGGCCAAAAUGUAAUUUCCUAAGAGUUUAGGGGUUAAAGUGCAAUUUUGAGAAAGUUUAAGGGUCAAAAUGUAGUUUUAGAAAAUUUUGGGGUCAAAAUGUAAAUUUUAGAAAAGUUUGGGGUCAAAAUGUAAAUUUCAAAAAGUACAAGGGUUAAAAUGUAAAUUUAAAAAAAAUUUCAAAAUUUUA